CUGUGCUUUCGGUGCUUUUUAAAAAUUUUAAUCCAUUUUCAUUUCUCUCUGUCUUACUUCCACCCCCAAGGAGAUUUUAUUCAGGAGCUGAAACUCGGGAUGAUGCAGAGUCAGAGAGAAGCAAAUCAUUCUGCAGUGAGGAAUCGUCAGACAGGAGCUGGGACCAGAGAGAGAGAGACCGAGAGAAUUAUAAUCAACCAUCUCGUGUCCUUGUCGUUCAAUUCCACACUCACAUGCUCAUGGGGGAAUGAAUUAUGGGGCUCAGGCAGUCUCUGGAGUUUGGACCACAAGGGCGUGAGACCUGGGCUGGCGCUUGGGGGAGACAAAGGGACAAAAAUGGGGCUGCUGCACAGUCUGAUCCCACAGAUUUUACUGCCUUCCUCUGCCUUCAUACUCCCAGCUUCUUGUCUCUCUCACAGCUUUCUAUAAAUCCCCAUCUCCCCUCCAUCCUUCAAAUCUCCCCCUAUCUACUGUACACAGGCUGUUAAAAGCAGAACAGAGUGGGGAUGAAUUCACAGGUUGAUGCUAGGGUAAUAGAAUGGGGAUGGGUUCAGAGGGCAGUGCUAGGGUAACAGAAUGAAGAUGGGUUCACAGGCCAAGGCAAGGAAAACAGAGUGGGAAUGCAUCACUAGAUCAUUGCUAAAGCAACAGUGUGGGGCGGUGUUCAAAGGCCAUAGCUGGUAGAACAGAGGCGGGGUGCGAGGAGAACAGAGGAUGCAUUCACAGGCUGCUGCACAGGGACAUACUAAGGAAGGGUUCUCUGGCCUAUGCUAGCACAACAGAAUGGGGAUGGGCUCACCGGCCAUUCCUAGGUAUAAUAGUGUGGGAAUGAGUUAACAGGCCAUUUUCUAUGAGAACAGUUUCAGCAUACGUUCACACAUCGCUGUUAGGAGAACAGAGUGUGGGAUGGGUUUAUAGUCUAUGGCUAGAGUAACAUUGUUAGGAUGGGUUCAUAGGCCAUUGCAAGGAGAACACAGUGGGAGUGGGUUAACAGAUCAUUGCGAGGGGAACAAGAUUAAGAUGGGCUCACAGGCCAUUGCUAGAGGAACAGAAUGGGGAUGGGAUCAUAGACUAUUGCUAUAAAACUAAAUUGGGAUUGGGUUCCCAAGUCACUGCUAGGAGAACAGUGUGGAGAUGGUUGAACAGUCUGGUGCUAAGGCAAAAGCGUGAGGAUUGGUUCACAGGCUGGUGCAAGUGAUACAGUAUUGAUGGUUUCACAGACUGUUUCUAGCAGAGCAGAUUGGGAAUGGGGUCACAGGCAGUUGUCAGUGCAGCAGAGUGGAGGUGGUUUCACAGGCCGUUGCUAGGGGAAGAGAGUAGGGAUUGGCUGACAGGCUGUUACUAAGAGAACAGAGGCAGGAUCAGUUCACACGUUGUUGCUACGAGAACAUUUUGUGGAUGUUCAACAGGUUGUUGCUUGGGGUACAUUGGAGAUGUGGUCACAGUCUUUUGCAAUGAAAUUGGGGAUGGGUAUGAGCCUGUUUCAAGGGGAUCAGAGUGGGGAUGGAUUCAUAGGCCUUUCCAAGGGCAACCGUCUAAGGAUCUGCUCAUAGGCCUUGACUCGGGCAAGACAGUGGCAAUGGGCUCACAGAUUGUUGCUGGGGGAACAGAUUGGGAAUGUUUCACAUGCUGUAGCUACAAGAAAAGACUGGUCGUGUGUUAAUAAGUUGUUGCAAGAAGAAGGGAAUGCAGACGUGUUCACAGGUCAUUGGUAGAACAGUGGAGAUGUGUUGACAGGCCAUUGCUAGCUUAACAGAAUGGUGAUGGGCUUACAGGCUUUUGCUCUUGGAGAAGAGUGCGGAUGGUACACAGGGAGAGAAAAAGUGUAGAACCGACACAGAGAGAGAUCAACAGACAGACCGAGAGGGAAACAGAGGGAUGCACAGAUUGAUUUGUUGUCACAUGUACUGAAAUACAGUAAAAUGUUUUGUUUAUGAGUGGUCCAGAUCAGAUCGGAGCCAGGCAGAGUCAGCAUGGUUUACAAAAAGGAAGUCACGCUUGAGGAAAACGUUCAAUUAAAAAAAACACUAGCCCAAUCACUGUAACUCCUGGGAAACUCGGGCUGCAAAUCACAGCACUCGGUCCCCACUGAAAUCAACUGAUUCACAACACCCCGAUUUUGCAUCUCUUUUUGCUUCUGGCCCUGUCUCACCUUCACCUCCCUCAGCCCAGCCAGAUCCAAUGUCAAUUAGUGUUCAAUGCCAAUGCAGGCCAAUGGCAAAUCCAAUGUUUACCUGGAAAGCGAGCUGGAGGAACAUAAGACACAAGGUGUUACAAUGUGAUGGGGUUGUCGAUGACAGGUUAGAGAGGCACAAGGAUCUCAUCUUUAUGCUCCCAUGUACUAGUUAGAUGAAUAUGCUCAGUGCACAUUACCCCUUCUACAUUCAUCAGUCUUGUGCUUGUGUUUAAGUUUUGAAAAUGGCUUUGAAUGUGAGACAAGUGGAGCUGUAACAAUCCCGUGGUAUUCAGCAGCAAAAAAAACCAAUCAGGCUUUUCCAAAAUGGGUAUCUUCUGAGAUCGUGAGCCACAUGGAAGAAUGAGAACUGUCUCACUGGGGCUCGCCAUGUCUACUUUCAAAGUCUGCUCGAAGUGAUCAGAAACUUUGCUGAAUUUGCACAUUAGGAUUGCAGCACGAGCAAGUGGCCAAUUUCUGGUUGGGUGGAUGGAGAAGCCUGAUUCAUUCAUAUGAAAACCUAGGAUAGAAACUUAUGGCCCUGAGGAGACGCUAUCCUCAAAUUGAGUGACUGCUGGCCACGCUGAGGGAUAUUGUACAGCAGGGAGAAUAGUCAGUCAUCCUGAGCUAUGAAGAGGGGAUGUUGUGAACAUCUGUACUGGACUGAUGGAUGGAUUUUUGAAACUCCUUUUAUCAGAGCUCAGAGUGGCUGGUACACACAGCAAAACCCAAAUCAAUUGAAAUGAUUAUCUCUUCUGAAUGGCUCGCUCUGGCUGAUGGAGAUUGAUUUUACAAACUAACUCAUAGAAUUUCCACGGAGUAACCUCAGUUACAUCACCCGAUUCCAAGGGAUUUCCUUAAUUUUGAAACUAUUCUCUGACAUGGAACUUUUGAAAUCUUUCCAGCUACAGGUUCCAGCAGAUUGUAAUAUUGUAAUCAAUAAGACUGUUUCAGGGCUAAAUAUUUUUUAAUGAGUCAUUAAUAAUUUAAGGAUUUUAUUGUUGUCCUGUGUUAUUUGGGAGAGGUUCAAUGUCUCUGCAUCUGGAGUGACACCUUUGCUGUGGGAUCUGAAUCCAUGUUCAUCUAUUGCUCUCUUUCACUGAUGUUUGAUGACUAGCAUCGGAAUGGUGGGCAGACGGCACACUCUGUGCUGUAAAUCUGUAUAACUCUGUCCAUCUGUAUGGUUUUAUGACCCUUGCUUUCCUUGAUCACCUCUCUGCCAUUGUCGAACUUCCACUGCCUCCAAUCCUGCAUGUAUUUUAGAUUCUGUUUCAGGCUAUACAUUUACUGUGUCUUCUCCCACUGCCCAUCCCCUCACUAUGUGCGACUGGCUUACCAGCAUGAUGUUCCCACAUUAUCUUUCACAGGAAUUGUUUCUUAAGUGCAACAGUUCACCUGUUUUCCACUUCGGAGACAAUAUUAACAAUCACAUUCUGCAGCAUUCCUCACCUCCACCUAAAGGUUGGGAGAUUUUGGCAAACAGCAUUUUCUUUUGUCUCUUCACAAUAGAUAACGCAUUAGCCACAGCCAACCAGUUUGUGCUUACAGUGCUCAAAUAUUAAUAGUGCCCAAUUAAUAUUAAUAACACCUCCUUCAACUCAACCAGACAGGGGCCAGCCCUUCUUUAGUUGAGGUCUCCAGUGAUGCUUUGAAAAAUCAGAGUCAAUCUGUCUGCGUGAAAUUUAAACAAAGUUUGGUCAUCAUCUAACUGGUGCAUUUUCCUUUGCAAUGCCUUGACCAAUCAGAGUCUAUUAUUCGCCCAGGUCAGUACAGUAUAAAACGUUUGCUCCCUUUCCAUUGGUGCUUAUUGUGAAUGAACCGAAGUGUGCAAGACAAAAAGCUUUGAUGAAACUUGCCUUUUUUGCAUACAGUUGGACAUUAUUGAACUGUUGUACAUUGUUGUGGCUCGGCCUCUCUCACAAUGCCACCACACAAGGCCUUAUAGAUGAUUAUGGAGGAACAAUGUGUAUUGUGGUUGAUUAAUUAUUUCAAUAAAUAAAGAGAGGACAGAA